rnacentral:tRNA from 1 species
GCCGGCUUAGCUCAUUUGGUAGAGCAGUUGAUUUGUAAUCAUCAGGUGGCAGGUUCGAUUCCUGCAGCCGGCACCA